rnacentral:rRNA from 1 species
UACGAAGGGGGCUAGCGUUGCUCGGAAUGACUGGGCGUAAAGGGCGCGUAGGCGGCCACCUCAGGUCAGUUGUGAAAUCUCCGGGCUUAACUCGGAAAGGUCAACUGAUACUGCGGGGCUAGAGUGCGGAAGGGGCAACUGGAAUUCUCGGUGUAGCGGUGAAAUGCGUAGAUAUCGAGAGGAACACCUGCGGCGAAGGCGGGUUGCUGGGCCGAAACUGACGCUGAUGCGCGAAAGCCAGGGGAGCGAACGGG